rnacentral:lncRNA from 1 species
UUUUUUUUUUCUUUUUCUUUUUAUGGCCAUGGCUGUGGCAUAUGGAAGUUCACAGGCUAGGGGUCAAAUCAGAGCUGCAGCUGCAGGCCUAAGCUACAGCCAUAGCCACAGCCACAGUAACACAGGAUCCAAGCUGCAUCUGCAACCUACACAGCAGCUGGCAGAAUGACAGAUCCUUAAUGAAUUAAGUGAGACCAGGGAUCAAACCCAUGCCCUCAUGGACACUAUGUUGGGUUCUUAACCCAAUAACCCAUAACAGGAAUGCCUUGAAUAUUAAUCAGGUUAAUUUCUCUGAUAGGCAAAUUUCAUUCAUUCUGGUGCCAUCAACUUCAUAUUGAAUAUGAUCAUGUGCUCCUGUAUAACACUUUUAUAAUUUAUUUUGCUGUAUUUGUUGGACACCUAUAUUAUCUGUACUUUAAAAAUCUCCCCUUGGAGUUCCUGUGGUGCUCAGUGGUAACAAAUCUGAAUAGUAUCCAUGAGGAUUCCAUCCCUGGCCUUGCUCAGUGGGUUAAAGAUCUGUCAUUGCCAUGAGCUGUGGUGUAAGUCGCAGACAUGGCUUGAAUUUGGCAUUGCUGUGGCUGUGGUGUAGGCCAGCAGCUGCAAUUCUGAUUCAGCCCCUAGCCUGGGAACUUCGAUAUGCCAGAGGUGUGGCUCUAAAAAGAAAAAAAAAAAAAAAAAAAAAAAAAAAAACAAAAAAAAAACCAACAAAAAACAAAACUCCCCUUUAAAUUUCAAAAGAACUGUUCAGUUUUAAUGCAAAAGAAAAUUCAUUUUCCAUAAAUAUAUAUUUUCAAAAUAAUUUUAGAAAUAUUAUUGCAACAUAAAACAUUAUAGGAAAUUCCAUGGAAUGGGCUGAGAAGAAAGUAGCAUCAAUAAUCUUCUCAUAGAUUUAGAAACAAAGUCUAAGUAAUUUAUCAUAGUCUCAGGGUCCACAAAUUUAUCAAGGCAUUAUAUCCUCCUUAUGAUCUAUCCUUUAUCUGAUGUUAUACCAUUUGGCUUUGCUUCACUCUUAUGAAAAUUAUCACAUGCAGAUUAUAUUAAUGUUAUGCUGUUCUCCCUAUUUUAUUUAUUUUAUUUUUAUUUUUUGCUUUUUAGGGCUCCAUUUGUGGCAUAUGGAGGUUCCCAAGCUAGGGGUCAAAUCAGAGCUAUAGCCGCUGGCCUAGCCACAGCCACAGCAAUGCAGAAUGUGAGCCGCAUCUGUGACCUACACUACAGGUCAUGGCAACGCCAGAUCCUUAACCCACUGAGCGAGGCCAGGGAUUGAAACCGCUACCUCAGGAUUCCUAGUCAGAUUCAUUUCUGCUGCGCCACGAUGGGAAUUCCAUGUUCUAUUUUAUUAUACUUUUAUGAAUCUAGUGCUAUACUUUAUUUUAUAUCUCAUAUAGUGGCUGAGAACUGCAGAUAAUAGACACGAGAGAUAUUCAAUUAUUUCAAAUUAAAAAAUUAAAAUUACUUUUAAUUCUUUUGAAGGGAAAAGGAUAGAAUUUUUUAGAUUUAGAAAACACUCAUAUCUUAGCAUCCCUCUCUCACCCUAAAUAACCAUCACUUACCAUGUGUGGAAAAUAGUUAAGCAUUUGAUAAAUACAUCCUUAAUGAAUUAAUAGCAAUUCAUUCCUUACUUAAAUAGGAAAUUUAUGUGGUGGUUGUUAAGAUGACCAAAACAAUUUCAUGAUAAUAAGUCAUGUCAUUCACACAAAGUGCAUAUUAAAAGGAGAAAUGAUUAUUUUGUGUAGGUCAUUAUAACCAUGACAAUACUGAUCCUACUGAUUAUUCCAAGUUCAGUUGUCUAGGUUUCUCACUAGAAUUCUUCCAGUGAAAAAUUAGCUUAUAUUUUACACAGAAUAUGCACAAUUUUAUUAAUCAGGCAAAAUUCUUAUUUACAAUAAAGUAAAUAUAUAGCUAGAGUACCAUUUGGGGAAAUUUGACAAUUACUUUAUGAGGAAUUAAUGAUCUGUCUGUAAAAUCUGAUAAAUAUAAAUAUCUUGCUUUUAUCAGAUAAGCCAAAGUAUUUUAGUAAUAUGCAGUGUAGUCUACUCACUUUUCUUUCAAUUUGUGCAAUAAAAAUGUAAAAUAAAAUUCACCUUUGAAGAAACCACAAUACGUCAAAUGUAGUUUCUGAAAAUCCACAAAUAUUGUGAUUAUAAUUAAAUAUACAUCUUCAGAAAUAGUUUAUUAAAUAUGAUAGCACAGUCUUUCAGGCACUGUUUAUGUUUUUCUCUUGCAUGAUAUUAAGUUAUAUUAUAUAAAUAUGAGUUUAUGAGCAUAUUUAAUAAGUGCAAUGAAUUUCUAGAACCUAAAGCAAAAGACCAAAAAGAUUUUUUUUUAAAUAUAUUCAUGCGUAGUAACAAAGGUAGGAAGUGCAAUGACAAGUAAACACCAAUUCUUUCAUUUAUGUCUGAAAAAAGAGCUGAUUCUGAAAUACUAAGUCGAUCCAGUUAUAACUCUAGAACGGAUCAUUUAUAUAAACUUUCCUUUUAAAGAAGCCAAAUUGGAAAUCAAUAAGUUUUUUAAAUGAUUAAAAAGUAAAAUCACCUCAACACAGAUUUCCACUGUAAAUUCUAGAAUUAAAAAAAUGAUCUUAAACUUAUAGAAAAGUUGUCCAUACAAUAAAAGGACUCUAUUCCCUUUAAACCACUUGAGAUUAAAUUGAAGUUCUGAAGCCCUAUCAGCCUGAAAUGCUUUACUGCAAAUAAGGACAUUCUCAUAAAUAACAAUAUUACAACCACCAGAAGCAGGAAAUUAAUAUUGAUACAUUACUAUCAUCUAAAAAAUCAUCCUAGUCAGGUUUCACCAAACAGCACAAUAAUGUUUUUUAUAGCAAAAACUUCAGUUCAGAAUCACAAAUGGAUUUUUAGGUCUCAUGUCUCAUAAUUUCUUUUGGUCUCUUGAUUCUCAAUCUUUGAUUUCUUUGACCUUGACACACUUGGAGAUUACAGGGCACUUCCUUUGUAGAAGUUCCCUCUGUUGGUGUUUCGCUGAUUGUCCUCAUAUUAGAUUAGGCCAUUUAUCUUGUCAAGAACAUUACUAAAGUCAGAGUUCCCCUUGUGGCUUAGCAGGUUAAAAAUCUGACUAAUAUCCACGAGGAUAUAGGGUCAAUCCCUGGCCUUGCUCAGUGGGUUAAAGGAUCUGGGGUUGCUGUAGUAUAGGUCGGAUCUGGGGUUGCUAUGGUUGUCACGUAGGCCAGGAGCUGCAGCUCCGAUUCAAUCCCCCUAGCCUGGGUACUUCCAUAUACCCUGUUUGUGGCCCUAAAAAAUACAAAAAAAAAAAAAAAAAAAAAAAAAAAAAAGUUACAAAACUGAUGCUGUGUUCUCACUGCAUCCUAUUAGUUCAUACAUGAUUUUAUUUUUUCCUGCUAUUAAUGAUUCUGUUUUGAUGACAGCAAGCCCUCUUUAUUAAUUUCCAAAUUUACAGGGAACAUUUUCAACAUUUCGUCACUAUAUAUGGAAUUUGCUGUAGCAUAUUUGGACCUAUAUAAUUUGAAACCUUUAAAAGAUUAUGAAAUAUUCAUUCAGUUUAUAACCUGCUAAGCAUUUUACACAAGGUUAUUGCCUUUUUCAAAUACUUAUUUUGCAUGUAUUGAAAUCAUUGUAUGAUUUUUCUCCUUCAUUUUGUUGAUAUGGUGAAUGGUAUUGAUGGAGUUUUCAAAUACUUAACUGUAUUAUAGUAUUGCAAUGAUCCCAAAGGGUUAUGAUCCAUUGUCCUCUCUCAUGUAUUACUGGAUUCAGUGAGCUAAUUUGUUCCUUAGAAUUUUAGGUCUGUAUUUGUGAGAGAGAUUGGCCAGAUUUUUUUUUUUAAUCAAAGUUAUUUUUUUUUAUGUCAAAGUUAUGCUUGCCUUAUAAUGCUUGAUAGUUUUCCUUUUCCUUUUCUCUGGGAGAAUUUGUGUAUGAUUAGUAGCAUUCACUUAGGAAACCAUAUGGCCUGGAAUUUUUGAGUUUUUAAUUACAGAUUCAACUUACUUGAAAUCAUAUUGGACUGUCUUCCCCUGUCUUGAAAAAAAAAAAAUGCAGAUCCUGAGACAAAGACUCAUUAAUUUAAUUAGUAAGGUAUGCCAUAAAACUAAAGGAAUUGAGAAAGAGGAAAGUCAAAGCAGAUUUACAUAACCAAACUGUUAGUUUUUCUGAGUAUUGGAGGGUAUUGAUUUCCUGAAACCUGUUAAUAGGUGUGAAGACUGCACCUCAGAAUUGUCUGCCUUAGUCCUGGAAAUGAGAAAUGUUCCUUAUUAGCUCUUCUGCAACAUUGGUCAGGCAUUGGCCCGAGAGAUAUUAACUUCCUCAAACCUGCAUUUCCAAGUUAUAUAUAGAAACCUUAAAAAAAAAAAAAACAAAAAAACAAAAAACAACUAAGUGGAAGUGAUGCAGGGCAAAAGAAUUUAAAGCGAACAUUAUU